rnacentral:rRNA from 1 species
GACGAACGCUGGCGGCGUGCUUAACACAUGCAAGUCGAACGGGGCUCAUCGCUUCGGUGGUGGGUCUAGUGGCGAACGGGUGAGUAACACGUGGGCAACCUGCCCCCGGCUCUGGGAUAACUCCAAGAAAUUGGGGUUAAUACCGGAUGUGACCGCUGGCCGCAUGGUCUGGUGGUGGAAAGGGUUUCCGGCUGGGGAUGGGCCCGCGGCCUAUCAGCUUGGUGGUGGGGUAGUGGCCUACCAAGGCGACGACGGGUAGCCGGCCUGGGGGGGUGACCGGCCACACUGGGACUGGGACACGGCCCAGACGCCUACGGGAGGCAGCAGUGGGGAAUAUUGCGCAAUGGGCGGAAGCCUGACGCAGCGACGCCGCGUGGGGGAUGACGGCCUUCGGGUUGUAAACCUCUUUCAGCAGGGACGAAGCCGCGAGGUGACGGUACCUGCAGAAGAAGCACCGGCCAACUACGUGCCAGCAGCCGCCGUAA